GUUUAUCACGUGCGUUUAAAAAAUAUCCGUUACAAAAUAUGAAAUAUCCAAGAAAUAUACAAUUCAGUUUCUGUAACACAUCAGGACAGUUAAGUCUGUGUAAUUACAAUUAGAUGAAAAUAAAUUUGAUAUUUUAUUUGGAUGAGAGUAAAAUGGUGUGGAGAAUCAAAAGAAGAGAUAAAACAUAGAGAAUCCUAAUGGUACAGAGUUCUGUGGACAAAUGGCUACAUUCUCCAACAUUUGGCUGAUAUGAAUCCAGGUAAACCAUGUCAUCUUUCACGUCGUCGUACGCUGGACCAAGGAAGAUGCUGAGGGUAGCAUCCAUUUUAGCAUCGGAGUUGAUGGUG